GGGGGCGACAGGUUUCGACGGGGGAAGUGAUGGCAAGAGGAGCGAGCCGGGGUGCUACCAGCCCGUAAAAACGGUAGCAAGGCAUAUAACUGCCAACGAACCUGAAUACGCUCUGGCUGCUUAAUUGACGGCCAGCAUCCUACCUGCCUGAGCCCGCAUGGCGGGAUAGGGUGUCGACUUAGCGGGCUUGCCUGUCAGGACGCUUCUCGGAGGCCUGACGGGGACCCUAACCCGAGAUAGCCCCGCAGAAGCCAGGUUGUGGGCGUCUGCGGCGCGAACCAAGAAUACACAACCUGCGCUCGGAGAGCCUCUUGUGGUCAUUCCUUCGGACGGUGGGUUCGAAUCCCCCCGCCUCCACCA
rnacentral:tmRNA from 1 species